UACGUAGGGUGCAAGCGUUUGUCCGGAAUUAUUGGGCGUAAAGAGCUCGUAGGCGGUUUGUCGCGUCUGCUGUGAAAACCCGGGGCUCAACCUCGGGCCUGCAGUGGGUACGGGCAGACUAGAGUGCGGUAGGGGAGAUUGGAAUUCCUGGUGUAGCGGUGGAAUGCGCAGAUAUCAGGAGGAACACCGAUGGCGAAGGCAGGUCUCUGGGCAACAACUGACGCUGAGGAGCGAAAGCGUGGGGAGCGAACAGG
rnacentral:rRNA from 1 species